GAUGAACGCUGGCGACGUGCCUAAUACAUGCAAGUCGAGCGAACAGACGAGAAGCUUGCUCCUCUGACGUUAGCGGCGGACGGGUGAGUAACACGUGGAUAACCUACCUAUAAGACUGGGAUAACUUCGGGAAACCGGAGCUAAUACCGGAUAAUAUUUUGAACCGCAUGGUUCAAAAGUGAAAGACGGUCUUGCUGUCACUUAUAGAUGGAUCCGCGCUGCAUUAGCUAGUUGGUAAGGUAACGGCUUACCAAGGCAACGAUGCAUAGCCGACCUGAGAGGGUGAUCGGCCACACUGGAACUGAGACACGGUCCAGACUCCUACGGGAGGCAGCAGUAGGGAAUCUUCCGCAAUGGGCGAAAGCCUGACGGAGCAACGCCGCGUGAGUGAUGAAGGUCUUCGGAUCGUAAAACUCUGUUAUUAGGGAAGAACAUAUGUGUAAGUAACUAUGCACAUCUUGACGGUACCUAAUCAGAAAGCCACGGCUAACUACGUG
rnacentral:rRNA from 1 species